rnacentral:tRNA from 1 species
UCCCUCAUAGCUCAGUUGGUAAAGAAUCUGCCUGCAAUGCAGGAGACCCAGGUUCAAUUCCUGGGUUGGGAA